GUCGAGGGUACAACAGGUCAGCACCUCAGGAGUAAAUGUCAGUUGGCUUUUCAUAGCCGAUCAUUCAGAGUAUUUCUACCGCUCCUGCUGUCUCUAGAGAGUUGAAAGCAGCAGGCCUGGGACAGGUACCACGUCCGGUGAACAGGUCUUGGUUCCAUAGCCGCAGGCAGAACAGUUAACUGGAGCAGCAGCACGGCCAGGUGGACUGGGGAGUCAUCAUGCCAGGUAGUCCAGAGGCAUGGUCCUAGGGCUCAGUUCCUCCGAGAGAGAGAAAGAGAGAGAGAAAAAGUGAGAAAGAGAAUUAGAGAGAGAGCAUACUUAAAUUCACACAGGACACCAGAUAAGACAGGACAAAUACUCCAGAUAUAACAGACUGACCCUAGUCCCCUGACACAAACUACUGCAGCAUAAAUACUGGAGACUGAGACAGGAGGGGUCGAGAGGCACUGUGGCCCCGUCCGACGAUACCCCCGGACAGGGCCAAACAGGCAGGAUAUAACCCCACCCACUUUGCCAAAGCACAGCCCCCACACCACUAGAGGGUUAUCUUCAACCAUCAACUUACCAUCCUGAGACAAGUCCGAGUAUAGCCCACAAAGAUCUCCACCACGGCACAACCCAAGGGGGGGCGCCAACCCGGACAGGAAGAUCACGUCAGUGACUCAACCAAAUCAAGUGAUGCUCCCCUCAUAGGGACGGCAUGGAAGAGCACCAGUAAGCCAGUAACUCAGCCCCUGUAAUAGGGUUAGAGGCAGAGAAUCCCAGUGGAGAGAUGGGAACCGGCCAGGCAGAGACAGCAAGGGCGGUUCGUUUCUCCAGUGCCUUUCCGCUCAACUUCACACUCCUGGGCCAGACUGCACUCAAUCAUAGGACCUACUGAAGAGAUGAGUAUUCAAUAAAGACUUAACGGUUGAGAAUGAGUCUGUGUUUCUCACAUGGAUAGGCAGACCAUUCCAUGAAAAUGGAGCUCUAUAGGAGAAAGCCCUGCCUCCAGCUGUUUGCUUAGAAAUUCUAAGGACAGUAAGGAGGCCUGUGUCUUGUGACCGUAAGUCAGGGAUUUCCUCCUCUUCUUCCGAAGAGGAGAGGCGAAAAGGAUCAGAGGACCAAUAUGCGGCGUGGUAAGUGUCCAUGAUUCUUUUAAUAUGUAAAAUGUGCACAUGAACAACUGACUACAAAAACAAGAAACGUGUGAAACCUAAAACAGUCCUAUCUGGUGCAAAACACAGAGACAGGAACAAUCACCCACAAACACACAGUGAAACCCAGGCUACCUAAGUAUGAUUCUCAAUCAGAGACAACUAAUGACACCUGCCUCUGAUUGAGAACCAUACUAGGCCGAAACAUAGAAAUAUCCAAAUCAUAGAAAAUCAAACAUAGACUGCCCACCCAACUCACGCCCUGACCAUACUAACUAAAUACAAAACAAAGGAAAUAAAGGUCAGAACGUGACACCGUAGCGUACAUGUAGGUAUGUACGGCAGGACCAAAUCAGAAAGAUAGGUAGGAGCAAGCCCAUGUAAUGCUUUGUAGGUUAGCAGUAAAACCUUGAAAUCAGUCCUUGCCUUAACAGGAAGCCAGUGUAGGGAGGCUAGCACUGGAGUAAUAUUAUCAAAUUUAUUGGUUAUAGUCAAGAUUCUAGCAGGUGUGUUUAGCACUAACAGAGGUUUAUUAAGUGCUUUAUUCAGGUAACCUGAAAGUAGAGCAUUGCAGUAGUCUAACCUCGAAGUGAGAAAAGCAUGGAUUAAUUUUUCUGCAUCCGUUUUGGACAGAAAGUUUCUGGUUUUUGCAAUGUUACGUUCGUGAAAAGAGAGAUCAGGGUCCAGAGUAACACCGAGGUCCUUCACAGUUUUAUUUGAGAUGACUGUACAACCAUCAACAUUAAUUGUCAGAUUCAACAGAAGAUCUCUUUGUUUCUUGGGACCUAGAACAAGGAUCUCUGUUUUGUCCUAGGUUAAAAGUAGAACAUUUGUCAGUCAUCAUUCAGGUAGGUCCUAGCCAGUUAUCAUUCAGAUAAGUCCUCCUAGCAAGUCAUCAUUCAGGUAGGUCCUCCUAGUCAGUCAUCUCUCAGGUAGGUCCUCCUAGUCAGUCAUCAUUCAGGUAGGUCCUCCAAGUCAGUCAUCAUUCAGGUAGGUCCUCCAAGUCAGUCAUCAUUUUGAUAGUUCCUCAUAGUCAGUCAUCAUUCAGGUAGGUCCUAGCCAGUCAUCAUUCAACCAGUCAUCAUUCAGGUAAGUUCUCCUAGUCAGUCAUCAUUCAGGUAGGUCCUCCUAGUCAGUCAUCAUUCAGGUAGGUCUUAGUCAGUCAUAUUUCAGGUAGGUCAUCCUAGUCAGUCUUCAUUCAGGUAGGCCAUAGUCAGUAAUCAUUUAGGUAGGCCAUAGUCAAUCAUCAGUCAGGUAAGUCCUCCUAGCCAGUCAUCGUUUAGGUAGGUCCUCAUGGUCAGUCAUCAUUCAGGUAGAUUCUAGCCUGUCAUCAUUCAGGUAGGUCCUCCUAGCCAGUCAUCAUGCAGGUAGAUCCUCCUAGCCAGUCAUCAUUCAGGUAGGUCAUAGUCACUCGUCUUUCAGGUAGGUCAUAGUCAGUCACAGUGAUGAGAGGGCCUUGCUCUGUUUAUCUUUAGAAGGAUCUUAUCCUUCGUCUAGUUGUGUCUAGGGUUGCAAAAUUACAAGAACUUUAAAUAAUUUCCAUGGUUUUCCCAACAUCCCAGUUGGAGGAUCCCAGAACCAGGAGGAAAUAAGCAGGACAUCCGGAACCCUCCAACCAGGAUUUCUGGAAAACUAGGGAAUUUAUUGACAGUUCCCUGAAUUUUGUAACCCUAGUUGUGUCCCAAUAAAUGCAGAAGGAGCUGUGCCAGGAGAGGGCCUGUGGGAGUAUAGUGAUGAGAUUGACCACUCUCUCUGUGGUACAACUGCUGCUGACUCAUCCUGCACUACCUGCAGGACUCAGGCUUAGUACUCAUCACACACACACACACACACACAUUUCCCACAGAUGACAUGUUUGAACUGUCCUUGUGGUUGUCUCGGUGGGUGUAGGUUGACCAGUGAGGGUUUCAACAACUUGUUGUUAGUCUACUCCUCUCUGGUUCUGUUUGGCUUCAAGAGUGAAGAUCUGGAUGUCAAGGUAACAUACAUUUCAGCUCUCUUCAAAAUAAAACGGAGUCUUUCAAUUCAAUCUGAUAUGAAAUGUUAACAAAUGUUUUUUUUGCUGACCUAC
ensembl:lncRNA